UACAGGGGGUGCAAACGUUGCUCGGAAUCAUUGGGCGUAAAGCGCACGUAGGUGGUCUGUUAUGUCGGAUGUGAAAGCCCUUGGCUCAACUAAGGAAGUGCAUCCGAAACUGGCAGGCUGGAGUACUAAAGAGGGUCGCGGAAUUCCCGGUGUAGAGGUGAAAUUCGUAGAUAUCGGGAGGAACACCGGUGGCGAAGGCGGCGACCUGGGUAGAUACUGACGCUGAGGUGCGAAAGCGUGGGGAGCAAACAGG
rnacentral:rRNA from 1 species